rnacentral:rRNA from 1 species
UGCCGGUAUCAAGCCGGAGGAAGGUGGGGAUGACGUCAAGUCAGCAUGGCCUUUAUAUCCGGGGCUACACACACGCUACAAUGGCCAGUACAAUGGUUUGCAAGACCGCGAGGUGGAGCCAAUCCUCAAAGCUGGUCUCAGUUCAGAUUGUAGGCUGCAACCCGCCUACAUGAAGUCGGAGUUGCUAGUAACCGCAGGCCAGCCAUACUGCGGUGAAUACGUUCUCGGGGAUU